rnacentral:rRNA from 1 species
UACGUAGGUGGCAAGCGUUAUCCGGAUUUAUUGGGCGUAAAGGGAACGCAGGCGGUCUUUUAAGUCUGAUGUGAAAGCCUUCGGCUUAACCGGAGUAUUGCAUUGGAAACUGGGAGACUUGAGUGCAGAAGGGGAGAGUGGAACUCCAUGUGUAGCGGUGAAAUGCGUAGAUAUAUGGAAGAACACCAGUGGCGAAAGCGGCUCUCUGGUCUGUAACUGACGCUGAGGUUCGAAAGCGUGGGUAGCAAACAGG